CUUAAAACUCCGGCUCCUCUGCGAUCACCGAAGUUAAGCAGAGUCGAACCUUGUUAGUACCUAGAAGAGUGACCGCUUGGGAAUACCCGGUGCUGCAAG